rnacentral:rRNA from 1 species
UACGAAGGGGGCUAGCGUUGCUCGGAAUUACUGGGCGUAAAGCGCGCGUAGGCGGUUUCUUAAGUCGGGGGUGAAAUCCUGGAGCUCAACUCCAGAACUGCCUUCGAUACUGAGAGACUUGAGUCCGGGAGAGGUGAGUGGAACUGCGAGUGUAGAGGUGAAAUUCGUAGAUAUUCGCAAGAACACCAGUGGCGAAGGCGGCGUCCUGGCCUGCGACUGACGCUGUGGCGCGAAAGCUAGGGGAGCGAACGGG